CCUACGGGAGGCAGCAGUAGGGAAUAUUGCGCAAUGGGGGAAACCCUGACGCAGCAACGCCGCGUGGAGGAUGAAGGUUUUCGGAUUGUAAACUCCUUUUGUUAGAGAAGAUAAUGACGGUAUCUAACGAAUAAGCACCGGCUAACUCCGUGCCAGAAGCCGCGGUAAUACGGAGGGUCCAAGCGUUACUCGGAAUCACUGGGCGUAAAGAGCGCGUAGGCGGGAUAGCAAGUCAGAGGUGAAAUCCUAUGGCUUAACCAUAGAACUGCAUUUGAAACUGUUAUUCUAGAGUAUGGGAGAGGUAGGUGGAAUUCUUGGUGUAGGAGUAAAAUCCGUAGAGAUCAAGAGGAAUACUCAUUGCGAAGGCGACCUGCUGGAACAUAACUGACGCUGAUGAGCGAAAGCGUGGGGAGCAAACAGGAUUAGAUACCCGGGUAGUC
rnacentral:rRNA from 1 species